UGUUUUUCAAAUAACUACAAGCUCACCAUCAUCACCAUCUAAGCUCAUAGUUCUCCUGUUGUGGUCAUUGUCAUGCAACUACUUGAGCUGUGAAGCUAUGACAGUCAUCCUAUGACCAUCAAGUAUCAAUGUAGAAUAGAAUCAGAGAAUUAGAAUGUAGAAGUUGGCAGAUUGGUAGAAUGUUUGACUUUAAAGUACCUGAGCACCGAAUAAUGUUACCAAGAUGUUGGACAAUGGCUGUUCCAGCCUAACCCAUUAAAACAGUACCAAUCAAAGAAACAAACUAGUAAGAGAACUACUAAUCAGGAUUACCUAAUUCAUCGAGUUGCUCUCCUCCACUUUGUAUUUCUCUUGUCCAAAGGUUUCUUUUUACAAAGCAGAAACUACAAUGGGCAAAGUAGACAGGGAUUCUGAAGCCAUUGAAACAGGAAAGGGAGAACAGACCUCAUCAUAAAGAAGUAGUUAUGUUUCUGAGAAAGAUACCCAAAGGUAUAUGUGUGGUCAAAAAUCAGAGAAAGGACUGGAAGAGCUUGAAGGGGCUGGAGACCCCAUAUGAACAACAAUGCCAACCAACCAGAGCUUCCAGGGACUAAGCCACUACCCAAAGACUAUAUAUGGACUGACUCUGGGCUCCAACCUCAUAGGUAGCAAUGAAUAGCCUAGUAAGAGCACCAGUGGAAGAGGAAGCCAUUGGUCCUGCCAAGACUGAACCCCCCAGUGAAGUGUUUUGCAGGAGUCCUGGAACACCCACUAUGUCCCUUUCCACAGUUCUACCUGUAUCCGUGGAGGUCAGCUCUAACUGGACACAUACAAGAGGUCUAUUUAAACUGGAGUCAUACAGCUGCAACCUCCCAGGAGAUCUGUUCUAAUGCAUCAGGCCAACCAACCUUAGAAACAACUAGAUGUCAGAAGGCAAUGUCAAAAGCUUAACCAAAAACCAGUAUAUCCACCAACAUAGGAGAACAUAUACUAACCAGGAGCUGAGCUGACUGUUGUGACCAAAGCAGGACUCUAGAAAGUGUAGGUAUCUUUUGAUUGAUUAUUAAUACUUUUCCCUCUUCACAUACAAGUGCAAAGCAGCAGAAGGAACAUAUUAUCAUGAUUCAAAUUGAUUUCAUCCUACAAGGUAAAAUUAAGUGGUCUCUAGCAAAUCAAAGAUCCCUUGCACACAUUUCACAACCUCCUGGUCAAUAGUGUGCUUCAACAUUUCCAUGACAACCAUCAGUGACUGACAAACUAAUUGAUUAAGUCCACCUGUAAGCUGUAGCAGUGUGUGCUGCACAUUUUCUGCCAGGUUACUCUGUCUCCUGUUGGUAUUUUGCUUGCAAGAAUCUGGUCUUUUAUUUUUUGUUGGACAGCAUGAGAAGACAAGUGUUAUAACCAAUGAUAUGAGAACCCAAGGAUGAAUAAAUAUUUCUUAAACUCUGAAUUGGAUGUUCUAAAAUCUUCUCUAAAUGCCCCUGCUGGGGGUGAACUCUUAGUGUGCAUAACAUGUCUCAUCUUCAUAAUAUUUCCUUGUAUUGAUUGCUCCCUCUACUUUGCUUUCUCUUUAUUUUUCUCUCAUAACAAUAAAGCUUUUGCACACAAGUUAAUGGAACACUCAGAAAGUUAUGUGAAGCUAAUUAAAUGUGAAAUACACUGUGAUUUGUAAUAUUAUUAUUGUAACCCAGGGCACAGAAUUAUAAAUUCUGCUUGUGUAAGAAAAUUCAACUCAGUAAGUUUUAAACAGAGAGGAUAGUAGAUAUCUACAAAAGAUCCCUUUCAGUUACUCACUGUUCAUUAUCAGUGAAAACAAAAUAAAAAAGAAAAACAGACAGAACCACAAAUAAAUAAUACAAACUUUUCAUAUACAUAUACUUAUCUAUCAUCUAUUUAUCUACUGUCUUUCUGUCUGUCUGUGGCCUGUCUAUGUAUCUACCCAUCUACCUAUCAUCAUCUAUCUAUCAUAUAUAAUCUAUCACUCUUAUCUAUGGACCUACAUAUAUCUAUAGCCUAUCUACCUAUCAUCUAUCUAUCAAUCUACCUAUCUUUCCAUAAGAUUUUUCAUUUUGACUUUUAGGAUAAGAUGUAUUUCAAGGGUUAAUAAGCCAUCACAUGGCCUGGGACAUAGAAUGAAUCAAGUAUCCAAGGAGGAAAUAAGCUAGCACCAAAAUUCAUCUACUUAUGAUUUUUUAAUUCAGUUGGCAUUAGACACUUAAAAUGAAAAAAAGAAUUCUUGAAAGCCCAUGAUGUCAGCAUCACUUUCCCAAGAUUGUUAUCAUAUAUCUUUAUAUAAAUUCCUAUUAAGUCACUGCUAUUUGGUAAAAUUAUAAUGCACAGUGGGAAAUAAG